rnacentral:misc_RNA from 1 species
AACUACAUUAAAAUAAUGCAGCUAUUGCUUGCCUUGCGUUAUUGUGCGCCGAACAUGGCGUUGUUCGAGGAAGUGGCAAUCCUUAUGGGCUCAGUCGAACGAGAACCGUUAGCCUAUACAAGGGUGUUCACCGUGAGGUGAAAUCUGAAGGAAGCAAAUGGCAAAACAUGGU